rnacentral:rRNA from 1 species
AGGAAUAUUGGUCAAUGGACGAGAGUCUGAACCAGCCAAGUAGCGUGAAGGAUGACUGCCCUAUGGGUUGUAAACUUCUUUUAUAUGGGAAUAAAGUGCAGUAUGUAUACUGUUUUGUAUGUACCAUACGAAUAAGGAUCGGCUAACUCCGUGCCAGCAGCCGCGGUAAUACGGAGGAUCCAAGCGUUAUCCGGAUUUAUUGGGUUUAAAGGGAGCGUAGGCGGAUUAUUAAGUCAGUUGUGAAAGUUUGCGGCUCAACCGUAAAAUUGCAGUUGAUACUGGUAGUCUUGAGUGCAGCAGAGGUAGGCGGAAUUCGUGGUGUAGCGGUGAAAUGCUUAGAUAUCACGAAGAACUCCGAUUGCGAAGGCAGCUUACUGGACUGUAACUGACGCUGAUGCUCGAAAGUGUGGGUAUCAAACAGGAUUAGAUACCCUGGUAGUCCACACAGUAAACGAUGAAUACUCGCUGUUUGCGAUAUACAGCAAGCGGCCAAGCGAAAGCAUUAAGUAUUCCACCUAGGGAGUACGCCGGCAACGGUGAAACUCAAAGGAAUUGACGGGGGCCCGCACAAGCGGAGGAACAUGUGGUUUAAUUCGAUGAUACGCGAGGAACCUUACCCGGGCUUAAAUUGCAACUGACGGAUUUGGAAACAGAUCUUCCUUCGGGCAGUUGUGAAGGUGCUGCAUGGUUGUCGUCAGCUCGUGCCGUGAGGUGUCGGCUUAAGUGCCAUAACGAGCGCAACCCUUAUCUUUAGUUACUAACAGGUCAUGCUGAGGACUCUAGAGAGACUGCCGUCGUAAGAUGUGAGGAAGGUGGGGAUGACGUCAAAUCAGCACGGCCCUUACGUCCGGGGCUACACACGUGUUACAAUGGGGGGUACAGAAGGCAGCUACACAGCGAUGUGAUGCUAAUCCCAAAAGCCUCUCUCAGUUCGGAUUGGAGUCUGCAACCCGACUCCAUGAAGCUGGAUUCGCUAGUAAUCGCGCAUCAGCCACGGCGCGGUGAAUACGUUCCCG